UACGAAGGGGGCUAGCGUUGCUCGGAAUCACUGGGCGUAAAGCGCACGUAGGCGGACUCUUAAGUCGGUGGUGAAAUCCUGGGGCUCAACUCCAGAACUGCCUCCGAUACUGGGAGUCUCGAGUCCGGGAGAGGUGAGUGGAACUGCGAGUGUAGAGGUGAAAUUCGUAGAUAUUCGCAAGAACACCAGUGGCGAAGGCGGCUCACUGGCCCGGUACUGACGCUGAGGUGCGAAAGCGUGGGGAGCAAACAGG
rnacentral:rRNA from 1 species